AGGAUAACCAGACAUUCAAUGGCCUAGAUGGCAGUGGAGUUUUCACAGAGAUGGACUUGUUCCUGGUGUCCACCCCUGUGUGUUCUGUAUGAGGACUCGCUCGAGCUGCACAUGGUGCUGCUGGAACUGGAGGAUGUGGGGAAACAGAUCCGUAACCUACUCGAUAAGCAGGCUCAGCUGCUGGAGCGAAGAACCGCGCUGGAAACAUCUUGUGCUUCUGCCUACACAUCCAAUGUAAGCACACAGCGUGGUAUUACCACUCCCAGCCCCUCUACGCCGUGUGUUUCUCUGUGCAGGGACCGUGCACCCAAGACUUUUCCAGCCGAGGUCUCCAUCACACCGACACACCACGGACCUUGGGUGCACCAGCAGCGAAAGGCGAGAGCCAUACCCUGGGUGAGUACCUCUCCACCUCCGAUGUUCGAGAUCCCAACCAGGAACCGCUUCACCCCUCUCCGUCAGACCAGACCAAACGCGGUGAUCGUCGGGUACUCCGUUGUGCGAAAUGUCCGUGUUGCUUCAACAAAGGGUAAGGUGCACACACACAUUGUUUUUCUGGUGCUCGUGUCCUUGAUGUCGCUGUGCAGGUACCCGGGAUCCUGAAGAAGGACGAGCGCAUUGGAGCUGUCGUGCUGCACGCGGGGGCAAACAACAUCAGGCUGCGGCAGACGGAGGUUCUGAAGAGGGUCUUCUCCAGCCUGAUCGAGACAGUACGAGGCAGAUCACCCACCACGAAGAUCAUCGUCUCUGGACCUCUUCCCUCAUACAGACGUGGAGCUGAAAUGUUCAGUAGACUUCUUGCUUUGAAUGACUGGUUGUUGCGUCCUGAUGGCCUGCACCCCAGCAGCCUCGGAGUGGAACUGCUGUCAGACAACAUCUCCAAGGCGCUACACAACAAGUGACUGCCUACUACGACUGCGUUGUGAUUAUCUCUGACGAUGAGAAUCUCAAGACAUCUGAUCGAGGCCUUUUGAGUCGGAGCUCAACUCAAGUUGAGGGCAUCGUGGCUAUCAUGAUUAUGGCGGAGAUAUUUCAGAUACAAGUGUUGUCGGAAAUUUUGAUGCAAUAGAAGAGCGAGAGGAAUUCAACUCGGAAGCCGACAUUCAACCCGACCUCGAAUUACAGGAGAUCUUCACAUCGUGGCGUGAAUUCUUCCAAGCAAAGACUGCUUUAUUGGAAAACUUUGGACAGCUUGAUAAUACAUUUGAAUCUGGUCCAGGUACAGAAUUUGUCCCUUUACUGUACAACAGACUUGAAAAUUUGAAUAGUUGCCUCACAGUGAACAUAAAGUUGAUUAGAAAAUUGUAUGAUAGAUAUGGCGCAGAAAUGACCAAAAUGCAGUUCGGAUACAGAGACUAAAAAAAUGAGAACCGAAAACACUCCAUUACCCCAUGAUUUCUGUUAUGUUGGAUACCAGAGUUCUUCAAAUGGUCUGUUACUUCAUGAUCCGUACACAACCCUGAACCCGUGAUUAACUGAAGCGAUCAACCGACUGAAUGAAAGUUUAUUUCUGUCACAACAGGUUGUUAGUGAGAGACCUAAUCAGAGUCCAAAUUAUGUAUCAAACACACCGAUGACGCCAUACGACAUAUUUUUCAAAUUAAAUCAAUGUCUGUUAGAGUUACAAAAUAAGCUAAACGAACAAAGACAAUCUAUGCAGAUAAAUCCUUGUUAAAUAGAUGCGAUGAAUCAACUCAAUGAAAAUAUGGCAUUAUCUCCCAAUCACGAUAUCGUCUCAACUCCAGAAAUUGCUCAGGAACAUGGACCAUUAUCUUCUCAUGAUAUGAUAUAUGAGCUAAAUCAAAGUCUUAUGAGUAUAAAUGACAGUCUGGUUAACUUAAUCGAAAACCCCGAAAAUAUUCCCCAAAAUUCGAAAAACGAUAAUGAGUACAACCUUCCUAUGGAAAACAUUCCAUCGCCUGAUAUCCAAGAUUCUCAAACGGAAAACAUUCAAUCGCCCGAUAUCCAAGUUGAGCAAGAAGGUGAUGGAUUAGAUCUUAAUAUCCAAGAUGAGCAAGAUGGUGAUGGAUUAGAUCUUAAUAUUAGAAUAAUUAAUUGUGAAAGAUUCAACAACACUGAGAUUAGGAGAAGAGUGAAUUUUUCUUCGAUCGCUAAUGUCGACAGCUUCGCAGAUUUUUAUAGUUAUGUUUGACAUUUUAAGCAGUGUCAUUGAAAUCGCUAACAAUUUAAUUUCUGCUGAGGAUGUCGUCACCGUUGAAAUCAGAGGUGAUUUGACCAAUGUUUCAUCACGCGUUCAAUUAGACAACGGUGUCAUCAAUUUACAUUCUUUUCUGACCAUGCUCGAAAAUGCAAUUCACAAUAAACGCGAAAUUUUUACUGAUUAUACCCUUGAAAUAGUUGUCCACAUCGUCCGGCCACCUCGGGGUGGUGGAAUUAGAAGGAAAAUAGGCCAUAUAUCCAAUUCAGAAACCAUACAGAAGAAAAUGAAGCAUCUAUGCAUUUUUCGCAACAGAGAUAACGUGUUUCACCUUGUGUGUUACCCAACUUUUGAAUCGUGAAAAAAACGAUUUUGAAACCGAACAAAUUGCUAGAAAAUUACAACAUGAUGUGGGAUUAUCCGUAAACACCGCGGUCAGCUUCGCUGACGUAUCAAGAUUUGCGAGAUAUUUGAAUUGUAAAAUCAUAAUCGUACACUGUUCUGUCAGCAAAGCUGGAUACUCUUUCUUUCAAACUAGCAAGACCCCCCCCCAAUGAAAAAACGAUUUACUUGUUUUUGCAUGACAACCACUAUUAUGGGGUUAAAAGUAUCACCGGACUUUUAGGAACGAGUCAUGUUUGUCAUUUCUGUCACUUGGGGUUUGACGUUUUAUGGAAACACAAAUGCGAUAAUAUCUGCAACGUUUGUCGCGAUCCUGAUUGUCACAAGCAUCCUAAGAAUUGAACUAAAUGCCCAAAGUGUCAGAGACUAUGUAGAUUACAAUACUGUUUCAACAGGCAUAAAGCAAAGAUUCAGUUGCGCAAAGGCAAAUAUUCUAUGUGUGAAGUGGGAUUCUACUGCUGUAAAUGUAAAAGUGUGAUACAGGAUAAACCUUCUAAUAGUGAGAAUCACGUGUGCGCACAUUCGAAAUGCAUACUAUGUGGCCAAAAACUCAACGAGGAUAUCGAGCAUAGAUGUUUUAUACAGCGGGCUAGGAAAGAACGCGAAAAUAAGGAUUGUGUUUUCUGAUUUCGAGACUAGACAGGAAACAGGAACUCGUAGCUAAUUUCAUAUGCUGUAUUGAUUUUGAGGGAGAGGAGUGGGUGGCUGAAGGGGAUGGUUGUGUCAAUGCCUUCUUUAAGAAGUUUCCUUGUAAUACCUACAACGGUUAUACGUUUAUCGCGCAUAACGCUAGAGAGUUCGAUUCAUACCUUUUGUUAAACCAUUUAGUGAAAGAAGGAAUCAUGCCCGAAAUCAUAGCACAAGGCGGUAAAAUUUGUGUUUCAUCGAUACCGCGUUUCGCCAGUCCUACCUUGAUAGUCUAUCGUUCUUACCCAUGAAGUUGAGCAGAAUCCUGAAAGCCAUGGGGUUUUCGGAAAGCAAGAAAGGCUAUUUUCCCCAUUUCUGGAACACCGUAGAACAUCAGGAUUAUGUAGGACCAUAUCCUGACCCUAAGUUUUACGGUGUAGAUGGAUAGAGAAGAAAUUCUGAAAAGUACAAAGGUCGAUCCUUUUAAAUGCAUAACAAUCGCAUCUGUGUGCAUGAAAAUCUUUAGAACCAAGUUCCUGCGUAAAGGCACUUCAGCUAUUCCACCACUUGAUAAUUACAUCACCGGACAGAAAUCUUUCUCAACACCUUCCAUACAAUGGCUCGAAUACGUUUCUAAAAUGCAAAACCUACCCAUUCGCCACGCGUUGAACAAAUGUGUUGUCAGGUUUGGUGCCUAUUACGUAGAUGGUUACUGUGAAGAUGGGGAAAGCUGUAAGGUUUUUGAGUUUCUUGGAUGUUUUUAUCACAGGUGUGAAAAAUGUUUCCCCUCAAUGACCCUGCAUCCUCUUAGCUCAUCCAAGCUACCUUCGGAGAUGUCCAUCAAAAAUCAACAGAGAGAAUAAAGAAUUUGCAAGUCACUCUGAUGUGGGAACACGAGUGGAAUGAAAUGAAGAAAAACGACAACCGUGUGCUAAACUUUCUAAAAGGCUUUGACUUUCCUGAACAUUUAAACCCGCAAGAUGCUCUUUACGGCGGUCAAACAAAUGCGUUACAUUUGCUUUAUGUAGCUCAGCCCAGUGAGAGAAUCGAAUAUUUCGAUUUUACUUCUCUUUACCCAUCUGUAAAUAAGACAGACGUACCCGAUCGAUCACCCUAUCGUUUAUCGUGACUUUAAACCGCUGAAAUAUUACUUCAGUAUCGUCAGAGCAAAAGUAUUACCGCCUAGGGGUCUGUGGGCACCUGUUUCCCCCGUUUUGUGUAAAACGCAAACUCCUCUUUCUCUAUGUAGAACGUGCGCUGAGCAUCAGCUAAAACAAUGCAAUCAUACAGAUCAGGAGAGAGCCCUUACCGGAACAUGGGCUUCUGUCGAAAUUGAGAAAGCUGUCGAAAAAGGUUACAAAAUUCUAAAAGUGUUUGAAGUGUGGCACUUUCCUAAAAGGUCUGAUAAACUUUUUAAGAAAUAUAUUAAAAUGUUCCUCAAGACCAAACAGGAAAGUUCAGGUUAUCCGUCUUGGGUCGUUGAUGAAUCCUCUAAACGUGAGUACAUUUGCAAAUAUAAGGAGAAUGAAAGGAUCACGUUGGAUCCGAAAAGCAUCAAUGUUAAUCCUGCCAAAAGAUCUGUGGCUAAAUUUGCUGUGGGGUAGGAUGUGUCAAAGACCAGACAGAUCAAACACGACCUUAAUUCGCAAUCCUGCCAAGUUUUUACAGUUCAUGUUCUCUGAUAUUUAUAACGUGAGUCAGUUCUCUUUUUUGAAUGAGAAGGUGGCGAUGGUACAGUGGUGGUACGCAGACGAGAGACUGAUUAAACCGCUGAAUGCUGAUUUUUUUUCAUUGGCAUUUUCACUACAGCAUACACUAGACUUGAGCUGUACAAUUUGAUGGAUCGAUUGGAUCAGCGUUGUUUGUACACAGAUACCGACAUCGUCAUUUUUAAAAGUAAGGAAAUUAAAAAUGUUGAUCAAACCGGUCAACUCAUAACCAUGUGUAACCAAAUCGUGAGAGAUAAAAAGGGAUUUCAUUUGAGAAACAAAACAUGCUUGUCGUUUGAAGACCUUUAAGCAGCCCUCAAUGUCAUCCUCUGGGGUCAAGUGCCGGGCUUCUCGACCGGGGUAAGAGAGAGGUGUGGUGGCUGCAUGGGUCGUUGUUUUCUGGGCCAGACUCUCCCUGGUGGCGACCUGCAAGCUCUGGGCGAGCUGCUGUGUCGCGGCCUGCUGCUGGAGAUUGGUCUCCAUCGGGUGCUGCAGCAUGGGAUCCUUUUUUGUGGUUGGGUCUGUGCUCAUGCCCGCAUCCUCCACCUGUGUAGCGAACCUAGACAGCGGUGGGCUGAGCACAGACACACAAGAGGCCGUUUAUGGGCAAAUGUGCAGAGUCUAUUUAAAUUCCGUGAGGAUGUGGGGUGCAAAGGAGGUGAAGUGCUCAGGCACGGGGCUGUGCUGGGGGCUCCCCGAGCGUCUGAGAUCCCGUUCUGCAGUCAGGCAACGCCGCGGGUGCAGCCAGGGGGCGAAAUCCUCCGUCGCAUCUGAAUCCUCUGCAAGAAAUGCAAAACAAAUUAUUAUGCAUGCCUCGGGAGCCCGCUCUUCCUUUGCUAGUGGAGGAGAGCGGCUGCGCUAAUCAUUAGCUGCCAGCCAUGUGUGUGAGGCGGCCCUGCCUCGCAGCCACGUGCUCUCCGGCUGUCCAAAACAUAGGUGGUGCUUUUUAUAUAGCCCCCAACCCCUUGUAAUAAGCCAAAAGUAUUUGGACAAACCCACAAUCAUAAAUCAGAGUGUCAUUUUUAAUGCUUGGUUUUAAUCCUUUUGCUGUCAAUGACUGCCUGAGUUCCUGCUUGUUCUUGGGGCAUUUUGCCUUGAAAUACAUACUCAAUUGGAUUCAGGUCAGAGGAUUGACCUGGCCAUUGCGAAACAUUCCACUUUUUUACCUUAUAAAGUCUUGGGUUGCUUUCAAAAGUACUUAAUGUCCAAAAGGCCUCUUCUGUGAAAUAUAAAAGUUGUUUGUGUAGAUCAGUGGUGUCGGUGUUGAAGGGCCACAAACCUACAGAGAUUAGCAUUUUCCCUCUUUUAACACACCACAUUCAGACAAAGGUAAUUAGCUGAUAGGUUGAUUCAGGUGCUAAACAAGAAAGGAUGUAAAACGUUGCUAUACAGUGGCCCCCUGGCUUCAAACAAAGUUGCUGAGUUUUUCUUGAGCAAGGCUAAGACUGUCCUUGCGGUUCUGCACGUCAAUGCGACGUCUGUUAACAUCCGAAUCUUAACGCAAGGCAUCGGCCACGUUGGCACCGUCCAUUAAACCCAGUAUCUCACUGCACAGCAGCUGAGCGGAUUCCUUCAGCAUGAAGUAACGGAUCAGCAUGGGCACCUGGUCAGCCAAGCGCUGCACCACAAUCUGUCAGGAGAGGGGAAAAAUCUCUAUAAUAUAAAAUUUCCAGGUUUUAAGGAAAAUCUCUAAUGGAUGUGUAUUUUUCUUAUCGCUUGUAAAACGAUAGAAAGCAAUGCAGUUCAAAAUAUUAAUGCAAUAAGUAUUUGUGAGAACUAUUUAUUAAUAAAGAAAAAUAUCUUAAUACCAGAAUGUUUUUAAACAACAUAUUUGAUUUGAUUAUUAUGCAUACCUUAUUGUUUAAAUAUAGCUAUAAUAAUAAUGAAUGAAGCUGAAAUAAAAAUAGUAUAUAGAUCAUUAACCGCUACUAAAAUAUACCUCAUAAUAAGCCCGCAGCAUUUCAGGAUAUUUGUUUCUGUUGUCAAACCCAGCAAAGUUGUCUUCUGAAGCAUUUUGUCCCUCAGCAGAGUGAGUCUCAUUCAAGGUCUUGAAGUAGAUGCCAUCUUGAGUGUAGACCAGUUGCUCCAUCUCAAACUGCUCCAUGAUCCUCUGCUCCACCUUGGCUUCCUGCUUUGACUGAAUGUUGUUGAUCUUGUUCUGUGAUGUUGAUUUUAAGUAUGUGGUUAUAGAGUUUCAGAAAGAAUGGAUUUAACUGGUUCAAAAAUAUUUCAUGCUUUAAAACUUAAGAAUUAUAUUUACCGUAGCAACACACUGGAGGAAAGGGUAGAUGUUGAAGCAGGUUUUGGACACAUCUGAAAACUCUUUCUGAAUGGUGUCUUGUAACACAAGAUUAUUACGAUAUAUUACUACGUUCACCAAUGCUUUGUUUUCUUGUAGCCUUUAAAAAAGGAAUUAAACAGCAUGCUGCAUUUUUUUUAAUGCACUUCAAAGAGGAAAAAAAAGAGGCUGGUGAGAAAUUGCUAUGGUAUAAUAGUAUUUUGAAGACUUAAGUUCAGUGUUGGUAACAGUAGCUCUGCUUUGCAUUAGGCCACAUCUCACCAUCCCAAUGUUGAUAAUUUUCCUAUAACAACACUUCCCAGGGUUUUAUUCCUUAUGUACUAUACACCAUUUGGGUAAAUUUCCAUCAAUAGAAGUGUCUGAUCUGAUGUCAUCUUGCAACACAAUUUUAGAGCUGUACAGAAGUACAUCACAAUUGUUGAAUCUUUGUAUGAAGCUUUCAGCUUUAAUUUAAGUGGCUUAACAAAAAUAUUGCAUUAACCGUUUAGGAAUUACAGACAUUUUUAUGGACUCCCUCCAUUUUCACAGGCUCAAAAGUAAUUGGACAAUUGCCUGAUAAGCAGUUUCAUGGCCAGGUUUGGCUUGUUUCCUCAUUAUUUCAUGACAAAUUAAAGGAGAUAAUUCCAGUUGA